AAGGCUGAGACGCUGAAAGUCCGGAUUUAAAGUGCAGAAAAUUAAGCCAUUGAAUCUGCCUGUCCAUGACGUACAAAGACACACUAUGAGCCAGUAUGAUCCGACCAGACCUUACAUCAGCAUUGAGGAGUUGUCGGAGAAGAAAGAGGCUGAUUGAAGCGGGACAGAUGACAUGGAUCCAUCCUUCCACAGCCAGGAGUGCACCGACCUGUGUCCCACACUUCAUAUAAGACUGGAAGCUACACUGAUCUCACAGCUACACACCACAGACGUCUACACACUGGAGAAGAUUCAGACAGAGUCCCACAAAGAAGUCAUGACCCAGAGGCUGCAGAGAAACAUUUCAAGCCUCAUCUGAGUUUUUGUACAAUAUUUUUGCUGUAUGUAAAUAAAGCUUUGACUCCACA